rnacentral:rRNA from 1 species
CCUACGGGAGGCAGCAGUGAGGAAUAUUGGUCAAUGGGCGUAAGCCUGAACCAGCCAAGUCGCGUGAGGGAUGAAGGUUCUAUGUAUCGUAAACCUCUUUUAUCAGGGAAUAAAGUGUGGGACGUGUCCUGUUUUGUAUGUACCUUAUGAAUAAGGAUCGGCUAACUCCGUGCCAGCAGCCGCGGUAAUACGGAGGAUCCGAGCGUUAUCCGGAUUUAUUGGGUUUAAAGGGUGCGUAGGCGGCCUUUUAAGUCAGCGGUGAAAGGCUGGGGCUCAACCAUAGAAUUGCCGUUGAAACUGGGAGGCUGGAGUAUGUGUGAGGCAGGCGGAAUGCGUGGUGUAGCGGUGAAAUGCUUAGAUAUCACGCAGAACCCCGAUUGCGAAGGCAGCCUGCCAAGCCAUGACUGACGCUGAGGCACGAAAGCGUGGGGAUCAAACAGGAUUAGAUACCCCUGUAGUC